CAGUCGCCGCGGUAAUACGUAGGGUGCGAGCGUUAAUCGGGAUUACUGGGCGUAAAGCGUGCGCAGGCGGUUCGUUAAGACAGAUGUGAAAUCCCCGGGCUCAACCUGGGAACUGCAUUUGUGACUGGCAAGCUAGAGUAUGGCAGAGGGGGGUGGGAUUCCGCGUGUAGCAGUGAAAUGCGUAGAUAUGCGGAGGAACACCGAUGGCGAAGGCAGCCCCUGGGCCAAUACUGACGCUCAUGCACGAAAGCGUGGGGAGCAAACAGGAUUAGAUACCCCCGUAGUCCCUGUCUCUUAUACA
rnacentral:rRNA from 1 species